AGAGUGAACGCUGGCGGCAGGCCUAACACAUGCAAGUCGAACGGCAGCACAGAGGAGCUUGCUCCUUGGGUGCGAGUGGCGGACGGGUGAGGAUACAUCGGAAUCUGCCUUAUCGUGGGGGAUAACGUAGGGAAACUUACGCUAAUACCGCAUACGACCUACGGGUGAAAGCGGAGGACCUUCGGGCUUCGCGCGAUAAGAUGAGCCGAUGUCGAUUAGCUAGUUGGCGGGUAAACGCCCACUAGGCGACGAUCCGUAGCUUGGCUGGAGA
rnacentral:rRNA from 1 species